UACCAUGCCAAAACAUGGUAAAAUUACCCAUAAUUUAUGUUAAGUACACCAAAAAAUAGUUAGGAUUACUAUGGUUUGGCAUUUCGUCAAAUGGUAAUCAUUACAAAAACACAUGGUCAGCGCUAAUAUGUGUUUGUGUUUAAUUUGACUACCUACGCAUAUCUUUUCCACCAUGUUUUAGUGAAUUUUACCAUGUUCACCAUUUUGACAGCUCACAUUCGCAAUAUUUAAUUGCGCAUAUUUUUUUCUAAUUUUAUAAGACUCUCUUCAGAAACAUCCAUUUGCAGAUACGAAUAGAGAUUUUUAAAUGAGUGCAUCAAAUGCUGGGCCACGCUUCUAGCCGUGAAAAGAUGUUCAUGUUAAGACAGGCGAGAGGACAGAAAAAGGCAAGACAAGAGAUCUCCUUAAUGUUCUGCAAAAGAGAAAAAUGUUGCAGGAUCAUUCUGCGCGAAUCUGCACCGGAGUAUGUACUCGGCAGCGUCAACGAUCGAUGCCCCUGUUUACAACAGUCUUUCAGCGGGAGCACAUCGUAUUGCACAAGAAUGUCCUCGGAAAACCCCGUCCGGUGCUGUUUAUUCAAGGAGAUUACGCUGGAGAGACUCGUCCACCGACCGGUCGGUGGUCGGAACUUUCGCGCAGAGAUUGGCUCGGAGAUUGGUUUAUUCAUCUCAAAGCUCAGUCACGAAGGAUGGAAUGUCACCAAUGUCCCCCAAGGCUUGGCUCAAAGGAACCCAAACCCGAGCCCAAACUUGUACACCUGCCAAAUGCUAAUUUCCUUAUUAUAUCUAUAUUUUUACAAAUAUUGUAACAUAAAUCUACAUAAACAUAAAUAUAACAUUUAAUUUAAUUUUUUUUUCUUUAGAAAAUGUAAACAAACCUCAAUAAUACCGCUAGUUGUAGUCAACCAUAAACAUAGUAAAAACUUCUUUUCAUUGGUUACGUUUACCAUGCUGAUUAUCGUUGCACAUAGUAAAAAUGACUAAAAAAUAUGGUUGGGAACAACAAAAAUAUGUCAAUAAUAGUUGCAUGGUAAAUUCCACCCCAUCCAUGGUAGUCUCAAGCAGGAAUCAUGGUCUACCAAAAUCAAGUAGUAAAAGUGUUUUAAUUUCACCCUCGAUACGGUCA